CCAGAAAUCUGACUUAGCAUUUGCAUGGCUUGUGGCCUCGUGGGGUUUACAUCACACUGGGGAAGAUGGAGAAUGAAACAGCCGUAUCCUCCAUGUGCGGAAUGAGGUAGACCCUGAGUGAAUACUUGUUGCAUAAGCGAAUGAAAAUCUACCUAGUACAGGAACAGCAUUAACAGCGAGCUUGCAGAUCCAUGAGAUGGAAGCCUCGGGCCUAGAUCUUCAGACGGCAUAAUCA